rnacentral:rRNA from 1 species
CAGUCGCCGCGGUAAUACAGAGGGUGCGAGCGUUAAUCGGAUUUACUGGGCGUAAAGCGUGCGUAGGAGGCUUCUUAAGUCGGAUGUGAAAUCCCUGAGCUUAACUUAGGAAUUGCAUUCGAUACUGGGAAGCUAGAGUAUGGGAGAGGAUGGUAGAAUUCCAGGUGUAGCGGUGAAAUGCGUAGAGAUCUGGAGGAAUACCGAUGGCGAAGGCAGCCAUCUGGCCUAAUACUGACGCUGAGGUACGAAAGCAUGGGGAGCAAACAGGAUUAGAUACCCCUGUAGUCCCUGUCUCUUAUAU